ACACGGACCAAGGAGUGCAACAUGCGUGCGAGUCUUGGGGUGGCAAACCCAUCGGCGCAAUGAAAGUGAAGGCAGAUAUUUGGUCUGCUGAGGCGAGAGCUCCUCCGGGGGCACAUCGUCGACCGAUCCCAGGCUACGCUGUGGCGGGAUUUGAGUAAGAGCGUGCCUGUUGCGACCCGAAAGAUGGUGAACUAUGCCUGAAUAGGGUGAAGCCAGAGGAAACUCUGGUGGAAGCUCGUAGCGAUUCUGACGUGCAAAUCGAUCGUCAAAUUUGGGUAUAGGGGCGAAAGACUAAUCGAACCAUCUAGUAGCUGGUUCCCUCCGAAGUUUCCCUUAGGAUAGCUGGAGCCCGGUGCAGUUUUAUCAGGUAAAGCGAAUGAUUAGAGGUCUUGGGGUUGAAACAACCUCAACCUAUUCUCAAACUUUAAAUGGGUAAGAAGCCCGGCUUGCUUAAUUGAAGUCGGGCAUUGAAUGCCGGGGCUCCUAGUGGGCCAUUUUUGGUAAGCAGAACUGGCGAUGUGGGAUGAACCAAAUGCCGGGUUAAGGUGCCCGAAUCGACGCUCAUCAGAUACCAUGAAAGGUGUUGGUUGAUCCAGACAGCAGGACGGUGGCCAUGGAAGUCGGAAUCCGCUAAGGAGUGUGUAACAACC
rnacentral:rRNA from 1 species